rnacentral:rRNA from 1 species
GACGAACGCUGGCGGCGUGCUUAACACAUGCAAGUCGAACGGAAAGGCCCUGCUUGCAGGGUACUCGAGUGGCGAACGGGUGAGUAACACGUGGGUGAUCUGCCCUGCACUUCGGGAUAAGCCUGGGAAACUCGGUCUAAUACCGGAUAGGAGCCAUUUUUAGUGUGAUGGUUGGAAAGUUUUUUCGGUGUAGGAUGAGCUCGCGGCCUAUCAGCUUGUUGGUGGGGUAAUGGCCUACCAAGGCGGCGACGGGUAGCCGGCCUGAGAGGGUGGACGGCCACAUUGGGACUGGGAUACGGCCCAGACUCCUACGGGAGGCAGCAGUGGGGAAUAUUGCACAAUGGGCGCAAGCCUGAUGCAGCGACGCCGCGUGGGGGGUGACGGCCUUCGGGUUGUAAACUCCUUUCGCUAGGGACGAAGCUUUUUGUGACGGUACCUAGAUAAGAAGCACCGGCUAACUACGUG